rnacentral:misc_RNA from 1 species
AGAAGGAUAACCUGCAUUUCUCCUGACAGUGCAACCAUUGCUCUUGGCAGUGAAAUGUCCGGUGGAAUCCAGGACGUUAGAGCUGAAGAUAUCACAGCAAUCAACACUCAAUCCGGCGUCAGAAUCAAAACUGCAGUAGGAAGAGGAGCUUAUGUCAAAGACAUUUUUGUGAGAAGAAUGAACCUCACCACAAUGAAGUAUGUUUUUUGGAUGACAGGCUCUUAUGGAUAACACCCAGAUCAAGGAUAUGAUCCAAAUGCACUGCCUAAUAUUACCCAAAUAAAUUACAGAGACGUUGUGGCUCAGAAUGUGACCUAUUCUGCGAGACUGGAUGGGAUUAAAAAUGAUCCUUUU